rnacentral:misc_RNA from 1 species
UUUCCGUAGGUGAACCUGCGGAAGGAUCAUUCAUAAUAAAGUGUUUUAUGGCACUUUUUAAAAAUCCAUAUCCACCUUGUGUGCAAUGUUAGAUCUCGUCAAUCUUGGCGAGAUUUUUAUACAUCAACUCAUUCUUUAACUAAUUUGUCUGAAAAAUAUUAUGAAUACUUAAUUCUAAAUACAACUUUCGACAACGGAUCUCUUGGCUCUCGCAUCGAUGAAGAACGAGC